rnacentral:rRNA from 1 species
UUGUAGUGUAUUGGACAACCAUGGCAGUCACGGGUAACGGAGAAUUAGGGUUCGAUUCCGGAGAGGGAGCCUGAGAAACGGCUACCACAUCUAAGGAAGGCAGCAGGCGCGUAAAUUACCCAAUCCCAAUUCGGGGAGGUAGUGACAAGAAAUAACAACCUGAGUGGUUCGCCACUUCGGGAUUGCAAUGAGAUAAGUCUAAAUCCGUAAGCGAUUACCAAUUGGAGGGCAAGUCUGGUGCCAGCAGCCGCGGUAAUUCCAGCUCCAAUAGCGUAUACUUAAGUUGUUGCAGUUAAAAAGCUCGUAGUUGAAAAUCGAAUCAGCUUCAUUAUGGCUUCGGUCAUACUUGUUAGCUGGUUCUCCGUCUACAAACCUUUUUGCUCUUUCACGAGUGCAGCUUGGAGAGUAGACAAUUUACCUUGAAAAAAUUAGAGUGUUCCAGGCAGGUCUUCGCCGGAAUACAUUAGCAUGGAAUAAUGGAAUAGGACUAUGGUCUUUUGUUGGUUUUAGGGCCGGUGUAAUGAUUAAUAGGGACAGAUGGGGGCAUUAGUAUUUAAUUGUCAGAGGUGAAAUUCUUGGAUUUAUUAAAGACUAACUUAUGCGAAAGCAUUUGCCAAGGAUGUUUUCAUUAAUCAAGAACGAAAGUUAGGGGAUCAAAGACGAUCAGA